GAUGAACGCUAGCGGCAGGCUUAAUACAUGCAAGUCGAGGGGCAGCGCAGUGUAGCAAUACAUGGGCGGCGACCGGCAAACGGGUGCGGAACACGUACACAACCUUCCUACAAGUGGGGGAUAGCCCAGAGAAAUUUGGAUUAAUACCCCGUAACAUAACGAUGUGGCAUCACAUUGUUAUUAUAGCUACGGCGCUUGUUGAUGGGUGUGCGGCUGAUUAGGUAGUUGGCGGGGGAACGGCCCACCAAGCCUUCGGUCAGUAGCUGAUGGGAGGGCAUGCUCGGCGACACGGGGACUGAGACACGGGCCCGAGUCCUACGGGAGGCAGCAGUAAGGAAUAUUGGUCAAUGGAGGCAACGCUGAACCAGCCAUGCCGCGUGAAGGAUUAAGGUCCUCUGGAUUGUAAACUUCUUUUAUAUGGGACGAAAAAAGGGUAUUCUUACCCGUCUGACGGUACCAUAUGAAUAAGCACCGGCUAACUCCGUGCCAGCCGCCGCAGUAACAC
rnacentral:rRNA from 1 species